rnacentral:rRNA from 1 species
AGACCCGAAACCCGGUGAUCUAGCCAUGGGCAGGUUGAAGGUUGGGUAACACUAACUGGAGGACCGAACCGACUAAUGUUGAAAAAUUAGCGGAUGACCUGUGGCUGGGGGUGAAAGGCCAAUCAAACCGGGAGAUAGCUGGUUCUCCCCGAAAGCUAUUUAGGUAGCGCCUCGUGAACUCAUCUCCGGGGGUAGAGCACUGUUUCGGCUAGGGGGCCAUCCCGGCUUACCAACCCGAUGCAAACUGCGAAUACCGGAGAAUGUUAUCACGGGAGACACACGGCGGGUGCUAACGUCCGUCGUGAAGAGGGAAACAACCCAGACCGCCAGCUAAGGUCCCAAAGUCAUGGUUAAGUGGGAAACGAUGUGGGAAGGCCCAGACAGCCAGGAUGUUGGCUUAGAAGCAGCCAUCAUUUAAAGAAAGCGUAAUAGCUCACUGGUCGAGUCGGCCUGCGCGGAAGAUGUAACGGGGCUAAACCAUGCACCGAAGCUGCGGCAGCGACACUUUAGUGUUGUUGGGUAGGGGAGCGUUCUGUAAGCCGUUGAAGGUGUCCUGUG